GGUCAGCCGUGAGUUGUGGCCAGGCCAGAGGGGAUGAUGUCAUUCUGGAGAUGUAGUCCUCACAUCCGUCCCGAGCUAGUUUGUGAGUGUGUGUGUCUUUGGACGCCAAAGUUUAGUGUUGCUCCAAGACAGAGAAGAAAGAGCUGCCUGCGAUUGUGCCUCCCAGAGGCUCUGGUGGAAGCGAGACCUGGGGCAGGCGCCCCGCUGUCGCGAGCCUACAGAGGCCAAGCAUCGCAUGGUAUGGAUGCACCACAGUUUGUUGAACCAGUCACCCACUGAAGGACCUGGCGGUGGUUUCCAGCUUUUGGCUAUUAGAAAUUAAAGAUGGAAGAAAUCUGACAUGCAGUGUGAUCUCACCAUCUCCGCUGUGUCUGAGAGGCCCUGCAUAGACUGUUAGGAUGAAUAGAAUCCCCUCUCCAGUGUAACCUAGGAAAACUGUAUCGACAUAAAAACAUAUCAAAUGGAAAGGAGCGACAGGCACCUUUUAUUUUAACAGCGUGGCAUGAGGGAUCAUAGUUCCCCGACCGUGGAUAGAACCUGCACCCCCUGCAGUGGAAGUGCAGAGUCUUAACCACUGGACCUCCAGGGAAGUCCCGGGAGUUAAUCAUUUUGAUCACAUUAAUCCCUUUUUAGGUAAAAGACUAAAUCCAUAUUUAACACAAAGGGAAAAAAUUAACGUUCCUCAAACAUAUGGACACCGAGGGGGGAAAGCGGUGGGGCGGUGGGGGGGUGGGGGGAUGAAUUGGGAGAUUGGGACUGACAUGUAUACACUAAUAUGUAUAAAAUGGAUGACUAAUGAGAACCUGCUGUAUAAAAAAUAAAAUUCUAAAAUUCAAAAAUAAUUAUUAAA